UUAAAUUGAAGAGUUUGAUCAUGGCUCAGAUUGAACGCUGGCGGCAGGCCUAACACAUGCAAGUCGAGCGGUAGCACAGAGAGCUUGCUCUCGGGUGACGAGCGGCGGACGGGUGAGUAAUGUCUGGGAAACUGCCUGAUGGAGGGGGAUAACUAC
rnacentral:rRNA from 1 species